AGCAGCCGCGGUAAUUCCAGCUCCAAUAGCGUAUAUUAAAGUUGCUGCAGUUAAAAAGCUCGUAGUUGAAUUUCGGGAUCAUCAUGUCGGUCGUGCCUCGGUACGUACUGGCAUUGUUGGUUUCUACCUUCUGACGAACCAUGAUGUCAUUAAUUUGGUGUCAUGGGGAAUCAGGACUGUUACUUUGAAAAAAUUAGAGUGUUUAAAGCAGGCUUACGCUUGAAUAUAUUAGCAUGGAAUAAUGAAAUAGGACGUUUUGAUUCUAUUUUGUUGGUUUCUAGGAUCGACGUAAUGAUUAAUAGGGAUAGUUGGGGGCAUUAGUAUUCAAUUGUCAGAGGUGAAAUUCUUGGAUUUAUUGAAGACUAACUACUGCGAAAGCAUUUGCUAAGG
rnacentral:rRNA from 1 species